rnacentral:rRNA from 1 species
AGAGUUUGAUCCUGGCUCAGGACGAACGCUGGCGGCGUGCCUAAUACAUGCAAGUAGAACGCUGAAGAGAGGAGCUUGCUCUUCUUGGAUGAGUUGCGAACGGGUGAGUAACGCGUAGGUAACCUGCCUUGUAGCGGGGGAUAACUAUUGGAAACGAUAGCUAAUACCGCAUAACAAUGGAUGACCCAUGUCAUUUAUUUGAAAGGGGCAAAUGCUCCACUACAAGAUGGACCUGCGUUGUAUUAGCUAGUAGGUGAGGUAACGGCUCACCUAGGCGACGAUACAUAGCCGACCUGAGAGGGUGAUCGGCCACACUGGGACUGAGACACGGCCCAGACUCCUACGGGAGGCAGCAGUAGGGAAUCUUCGGCAAUGGGGGCAACCCUGACCGAGCAACGCCGCGUGAGUGAAGAAGGUUUUCGGAUCGUAAAGCUCUGUUGUAAGUCAAGAACGAGUGUGAGAGUGGAAAGUUCACACUGUGACGGUAGCUUACCAGAAAGGGACGGCUAACUACGUGCCAGCAGCCGCGGUAAUACGUAGGUCCCGAGCGUUGUCCGGAUUUAUUGGGCGUAAAGCGAGCGCAGGCGGUUUGAUAAGUCUGAAGUUAAAGGCUGUGGCUCAACCAUAGUUCGCUUUGGAAACUGUCAAACUUGAGUGCAGAAGGGGAGAGUGGAAUUCCAUGUGUAGCGGUGAAAUGCGUAGAUAUAUGGAGGAACACCGGUGGCGAAAGCGGCUCUCUGGUCUGUAACUGACGCUGAGGCUCGAAAGCGUGGGGAGCGAACAGGAUUAGAUACCCUGGUAGUCCACGCCGUAAACGAUGAGUGCUAGGUGUUGGCCAGAGAUGGUCGGUGCCGCAGCAAACGCAAUAAGCACUCCACCUGGGGAGUACGACCGCAAGGUUGAAACUCAAAGGAAUUGACGGGGACCCGCACAAGCGGUGGAGCAUGUGGUUUAA